UACGGGGGGGGGCAAGCGUUGUUCGGAAUUACUGGGCGUAAAGGGCGCGUAGGCGGCCUACUAAGUCGGACGUGAAAUCCCUCGGCUCAACCGAGGAACUGCGUCCGAUACUGGUGGGCUUGAAUCCGGGAGAGGGAUGUGGAAUUCCAGGUGUAGCGGUGAAAUGCGUAGAUAUCUGGAGGAACACCGGUGGCGAAGGCGGCAUCCUGGACCGGUAUUGACGCUGAGGCGCGAAAGUGUGGGGA
rnacentral:rRNA from 1 species